UCCGUAGGCGGGCAAUUAAGUCAGAGGUGAAAUCCCACAGCUCAACUGUGGAACUGCCUUUGAUACUGGUUGUCUUGGGUUAUAGUGAAGUAGAUAGAAUAUGUAGUGUAGCGGUGAAAUGCAUAGAUAUUACAUAGAAUACCGAUUGCGAAGGCAGUCUACUAACUGUAUACUGACGCUAAUGGACGAAAGCGUGGGGAGCGAACAGGAUUAGAUACACUGGUAGUCC
rnacentral:rRNA from 1 species